rnacentral:rRNA from 1 species
UACGAAGGGGGCUAGCGUUGCUCGGAAUCACUGGGCGUAAAGGGCGCGUAGGCGGCCGAUUAAGUCGGGGGUGAAAGCCUGUGGCUCAACCACAGAAUUGCCUUCGAUACUGGUUGGCUUGAGACCGGAAGAGGACAGCGGAACUGCGAGUGUAGAGGUGAAAUUCGUAGAUAUUCGCAAGAACACCAGUGGCGAAGGCGGCUGUCUGGUCCGGUUCGUGACGCUGAGGCGCGAAAGCGUGGGGAGCAAACAGG